UUACGGGUUGGGCAAACCGGGCGAAAGCCCGGGACGCUAAAGCCAUGGGUCUAAGGUCCUUUUCAGGACUAUGAUCGCCAGGCUGCAACG
rfam:Desulfotomaculum kuznetsovii DSM 6115, complete genome.